AAAAGAGUCAUAUGCAUCUUUGCCCCUCUCAGUUUUCAUCCUCGCUCCGCCCCUGCACGCGAUGGGGAUCCCCCAUCUCCCAGCAAACCUUGCAGCUGCACGCCACCUCCCUCGUCCUAAGGUUGGGCGCGAUGUGAACUGCGAACGGAUCAGUGAUUGGACUAGCAGCAGUUAACUGUACCAACACGGGCUGACAACAACUCGCACGCGUUCGUCUCCGUCGACGGCGGUCAGCACCUCUAACACAUGACAGACCCGCUCCCCUAGCUCCUGUUGCUUCCAUGACAACUGCUCAUGCGCACCUCCAACGCAUGACCAGCUGUCCCCUGGUUCUUCUUUUGUUCAUGGAGUUGGAGCGUGCUGCAACUAACUUUCAUUUCUGAAACUCAAAUCCCUCCAGUUCAGUCCAUGUAUUGUUCUUGUAGGCAGAUUUGAACAAUCUAAAACUGGAAAAAAGAAUGCGUCAGUAUAGCUACUAAACAGAAAAUGGUCUAGUGUAUGUUGCUUUUGUGGUUUUUUGUGUGCUCGUAUUUGCAUAAUUUACCUCAAAUGAAAAUUCAGUUACUUGUGUA